CUAUAAACCUUCCCUGGUGACAUGAAGUCCCACACAUUGUUUGGGUUUGACAGACACCUCCUGCCCCCAUGGAAGAGAUUCCCAAACCCACAUAUUCACUCAACCAGGUGAAAAAGAUAGAUCAGUAUUCCCGACGUAUAUUUCCCUGCAUCUAUGGUCUCUUCGUUCUAUACUUCUUCAUUAGAUAUCAUGCCAUAGAGGGAGCUCUUUCUAUUGGAAAUGGCGACGAUUGAUCUUCAUGUGCUGAGAGUUAUAAUCGUAAUAAAUGAAAUCCCUUUUAUAAUAUCUUUUCUUUUUUUGUAUUUAUUUUCAUUUUAUAUCCAUUCCUUCUUUUCAUUUUCCCCAAAAAUUU